rnacentral:rRNA from 1 species
UAAGCAAGGUGUGAAAGCGUGUGGCUCAACCAUACAUCCAUGCCUUGAACUGCACAGCUAGAGAAUGGAAGAGGUGGCUGGAAUUCCUAGUGUAGGAGUGAAAUCCGUAGAUAUUAGGAGGAACACCGAUGGCGUAGGCAGGCCACUGGUCCAUUUCUGACGCUCAGGCACGAAAGCGUGGGAGCGAACGGGAUUAGAUACCCCGGUAGUCCACGCCGUAAACGAUGGAUGCUA